rnacentral:rRNA from 1 species
ACACGUCUACAUUAGACUACCCCUGUAGUCCCAGCCGUAAACUAUGCGCGUUAGGUGUAUCGGUGACCACGAGUUACCGAGGUGCCGAAGGGAAACCGUGAAACGUGCCGCCUGGGAAGUACGGUCGCAAGGCUAGAAACUUAAAGGAAUUGGCGGGGAGCACCACAACGGGUGGAGCCUGCGGUUUAAUUGGACUCAACGCCGGGAAGCUCACCGGAUAAGACAGCGGAAUGAUUGCCGGGCUGAAGACUCUGCAUGACUAGCUG